GCCGAUGUGGCUCAGGGGUAGAGCAGCUCACUCGUAAUGAGCAGGUCGCCGGUUCGAAUCCGGCCAUCGGCU
rnacentral:tRNA from 1 species